rnacentral:misc_RNA from 4 species
AACGCACCUUGCACCCUUUGGCAUUCCGAAGGGUAUGCUCGUUUGAGUGUCAUUGUACUCUCACACUCUCCAAUCCUCUGGAUCCGGGGAGUGGUGGACUUGGGCGUCUGCUGCUUGACUGUGGCUCGCUUUAAAUGGAUUAGUGCAACUCUUGGUUGGACAUAGUACGGCGUGAUAAGUGUCUUCGCCGGCACCUCGGAAGAGGGUGACUGAUUGAGAGCUCUGUGCUUCAAACUGUCUUCGGACAAUCUCUGACAACUUGACCUCAAAUCGAGUAGGACUACCCGCUGAACUUAA